GAAGUCGUAACAAGGUUUCCGUAGGUGAACCUGCGGAAGGAUCAGUA
rnacentral:rRNA from 1 species